rnacentral:rRNA from 3 species
AAAACUUUCAGCAACGGAUCUCUUGGUUCUCGCAUCGAUGAAGAACGCAGCGAAACGCGAUAUGUAAUGUGAAUUGCAAGUUUUGUGAAUCAUCGAAUUUUUGAACGCACAUUGCGCCCUUUGGCAUUCCGAAGGGCAUGCCUGUCUGAGCGUCAGU